AUAUGCAGAAAGAGCUCUACCACGGGAGCGACAAGAUCUGAAUACGGGUGCUGAGCGGGAUUAUCUGAGACUCUGACGUUGUGAAUAUGAACGAGGCAGUGCCUGACGGAGAAUACCAAUGUCAUGGCUGCUUGAACUCUGGACGCGUCCAUGCCGUGUCAUAGCGUCCGAGAGUACAGGCAAGUUCGAAAAGGAUAGCACCCGUAGUUGUGCAGGACCAUCCACCUCAACGACAUCAACUGGAUAAGAGAUGGAUGCCUGCUACUGCAGAAAAAAUUGACAUAAAGGACGUGCUAUGAAGGAAGUUUACACUGCCUUUCUUCUAAUUCCUUCAUUGACACCCCAGCCCCACAACAUAUCCAAUUGCUGACUCCAAUGUUCCUUAACAUUCCCGAGCUCGGGCAGAUCGCGGUACCAGGAAGGCGCUCUCCUCGCGGCUAACUACUCGCUCUUUUCUGUUCAUUAUCUUUAAGUCUUGGCCUCAAUAUCGAAAUAAAUAUUAUAUAUUAUAAGCUUUGA